rnacentral:rRNA from 2 species
GACGUAGGGGGCCAGCGUUGUUCGGAAUUACUGGGUGUAAAGGGUUCGUAGGCGGUGCGGCAAGUUGGGAGUGAAAUCUCUGGGCUUAACCCAGAGGCUGCUUCCAAAACUGCUGUGCUUGAGUGUGGGAGAGGCGCGUGGAAUUGCAGGUGUAGCGGUGAAAUGCGUAGAUAUCGGAAGGAACACCAGUGGCGAAAGCGGCUUCCUGGUCCAGCACCGACGUUCAGGCACGAAAGCGUGGGGAGCAAACAGG